rnacentral:lncRNA from 1 species
AUGGUUGUGAGCCACCAUGUGGUGGCUGAGAAUUGAACUCAGAACCUCUGUAAAAACAGUCAGUGCUCUUAACCGCUGAGCCAUCUCUCCAGACUCCUAGAGUUCCAUAUUUGCUUUUGUUUUUUCUUUCUUAAGGCUAAAGACAUACACCCAAAAUACCUGCAAACCCACGUCACUCAUUUGCCUCCACAAAUACACACACUAAAGAAAAGGGAAUAACAAAAUCCUAAGCUGCUUUUGUUUUUUGUUUUGUUUUGUUUUUUUCCUGAGAGAGGGGCUCCCUAUGUAGUACAGGCUAGAGUCAAACCUUCUAUGUGACCCAGGCUAUACUGGACUUACAGCCACCCUGCCUCAGGAUCCUGAGUGCUAGACUUAUCUGUGGGCCAUCCUGGGCUAUGCCUUUUACUUCUUUUACUUUCUUUCUCUCUUUCUUUCUUUCUUUUUAGAAAGACAUUUUUUUAAAAGAUUUAUUUAUUUUAUGACUGUAGCUGUACAGAUGGUUGUGAGCCUUCAUGUGGUUGUUGGGAAUUGAAUUUAGGACCUCUGCUCCCUUUGGUCAACCCCACUUGCUCAGGCCCAAAGAUUUAUUUCUUAUUAUACGUAAGGACACUGUAGCUGUCUUCAGACGCUCCAGAAAAGGGUGUCAGAUCUCAUUACAGGUGGUUGUGAGCCACCAUGUGGUUGCUGGGAUUUGAACUAAGGACCUUUGGAAGAGCAGUCAGUGCUCUUACCCGCUGAGCCAUCUCGCCAGCCCUCCUCCUUUCUUUUUAAAAACCGUGUCUUAUUCUGUAGUCCAAGCCUAUCUGGAACUUACUAUGUAGAUACUCUUGGCCCUGAAACCACCCUGGGCCCUGCCUCCUAGAUGUGAAGAUUACUGGAGUGAGCCUACAUAUGUUUACACCUCAACUUUUGAAGAUCCUGCCACAUCUGAAUACCUCCACUCUGGGCUCAAGCCUCCAGUCCAUGAGUCUUUGGGGGUGCUCAUUUAAACUACAUCCAAUCCAAAGCCUAAGGGCAGACUAGAGCCCUUACUGCAGAGAAUCUUGGUUGAGAUGUGUGUAGCAAAUGUUCAUGCCUGAUUUCAGUUCUUGGGAGGCUAAGGCAGAGGAUCACUGGUCCUAUAAUGAGUUCCAGACGAUCCUAGGCUAUAGAAUGAAACCCUGUCGAAAACAAAAGCCAAAGGGGAAAAGGAGGAAACCUGGUUGGUACUUGUCACUACGUGAUUCAGAGUUCACGUUAGCGGCCUUGAGACUUGACAGGAAGCAUGUGAUUAAACCACACGUACACCAGACAAACCAACUGAAAGAAAUUCUUCUAAUAAGUGGUCAAUAAUCUUUUUCUCUUUUUUUCCAUUUUGAGAUAAGACAAGGUCUUGAUAUAUAGCCCUGACUCGUUUGAAAAUUGUUGCAUAGAGCAGACAACUUCCAACUUGUGUGCUCUUCCUGCCUCUGGCUACGAAGUGUUGAGGUACUGGUACUGGAGGCACUCCUGGGUACUGGGGGUACUCCUGGGUACUGGAGGCACUCCUAGGUACUGGAGACACUCCUGGGUACUGGGGGUACUUCUGGGUACUGGAGGCACUCCUGGGUACUGGAGGUACUCCUGGGUACUGGGGGUACUCCUGGGUACUGGAGGUACUCCUGGGUACUGGAGGCACUCCUGGGUACUGGCGGCACUCCUGGGUACUGGAGGUACUCCUGGGUAUUGGAGGCACUCCUAGGUACUGGAGACACUCCUGGGUACUGGGGGUACUCCUGGGUACUGGAGGCACUCCUGGGUACUGGAGGUACUCCUGGGUACUGGAGGCACUCCUAGGUACUGGAGACACUCCUGGGUACUGGAGGCACUCCUGGGUACUGGGGGUACUCCUGGGUACUGGCGGCAGAAGCAUGUAGAUCUCUGUGAGUCCCAGGCAAGCCUGAUCUGCAAAGUGAGUUCCAGGCCAGUCACAGUGAGAUCUUGUUUCAGAAACAAAACUCAGUUGAUAACCUGUUUGCCUUGCAAAUAGGAGAACCCAAGUUUGAACCCCUGAACUUGUGUGAAGAAACAUUGGGGAGAGUGGUGCAUAUUUGUAACCCCAGAACUGAGGAGGCAGAGACAGGCAUAUCAUUAGAGCUCACUGACUAGCCAGCCUGGACUAUGGUAUGUUCAGGUCAGCAAAAGACCCUGUCUCAAAAAGGGUAGCUCUUGUCCUGUUUUGUUUUGUUUUUGUGGUAAGCUAGUGUUGGAUUGAUCCCUGGAGCCCAGAUAGUGGAAGAAGAGAGCUCACACCUAUAAGGUCUCUGACCUUCACAAGUACACUGUGGCAAAUGUAUGUGUAUGAACAAAAUAAACAGAAUUAUUUUUAAGCU